rnacentral:lncRNA from 1 species
AAAAAUAGUUACAGACCUUCUAAAAUUCAAACUGACCACACGCACGAUACACGCACGCACGAUACACGCACGGUGAAUGCACGAUACACGCACGGUACACGCACGAUACACGAUACACGCACGAUGAGCGAUGAGCGUUACACGGAGGAUUAACGCAAAAUGAAUGAUGAAUGAUGAACGCACGAUACACGCACGAUGCACGAUGAAUGAUAAAUACACGAUACACGCACGAUACACGCACGAUACACGCACGAUACACGCACGUUGAAUGAUUCAUUGACGACUGAACAACGAACGCUUUUUACACGAUUCUCAAAGCUAUUUUAUUUAGAAUAGUAUUUAAAAUUGAUAUGCAUUUUCAUUAAAGGCAAUACUUGUAGCUGUUUUGCCGAUACCAGCAUAAUAGAUAAUAUGCUAUUUUGCCAGCUCAGAUUCAAAUAACUUAAUUAAAGUCGGCUAUUUUAUAGGCACCGGAAAUAUUUGUGAACUUGGACAGAAGCUCAUAACAAUCAAAAUAUAGUGUCUUGAUUUUGUUCAGCCUCACCCUGAGAGUUCAAGUUUACGGCAAACGAAGGCGAGACAUUGUGUUCCGCGAAACCCUUACUAAUUUUAUUUCAUACAGUUAAAAAUCGAAAUUUUAUUUUUAUGCAUACAAUGUCCGACGCAUUAUAUCUACAGAGAGUGACUGGUUCUAGAAAUUAUUU